AAUCUCAUCCAGUAAGGUGUAGCCGCACCACUGGUAGCGAGUUUUGGGGAUACAGAGGUAACGAUGUAUUCUAAGUGUAAACAGUUAGGAAAUAGGGCUGAAAGUGAUUGAGCUCCGAAAUCUACGUAACCCGUAGGUCGACGUUUUCUUUCGGACGGAAGACAAUACGUAUGUUUCUGUUUGGGUUAGGAAGCAUAUGCUACGGCGGAGUCUGAGAGC
rnacentral:ncRNA from 1 species